rnacentral:rRNA from 1 species
UACGUAGGGUGCAAGCGUUGUCCGGAAUUAUUGGGCGUAAAGAGCUCGUAGGCGGUCUGUCGCGUCGGCUGUGAAAACUCGGGGCUCAACUCCGAGCUUGCAGCCGAUACGGGCAGGCUAGAGUUCGGUAGGGGAGACUGGAAUUCCUGGUGUAGCGGUGAAAUGCGCAGAUAUCGGGAAGAACACCCGUGGCGAAGGCGGCACUCUGGGACGGUACUGACGCUGAGACGCGAAAGCGUGGGGAGCGAACAGG